GUGGGGAAUAUUGGACAAUGGGGGCAACCCUGAUCCAGCCAUGCCGCGUGUGUGAAGAAGGCCUUCGGGUUGUAAAGCACUCUUGUUGGGGAAGAAAAGCACUGGGCUAAUACCUUGGUGUCAUGACGGUACCCAAAGAAUAAGCACCGGCGAACUUCGUGCCAGCAGCCGCGGUAAUACGAAGGGUGCAAGCGUUACGCGGAAUUACUGGGCGUAAAGCGUGCGUAGGCGGUUUGUUAAGUCUGUCGUGAAAGCCCCGGGCUCAACCUGGGAAUGGCGAUGGAAACUGGCGAGCUAGAGUACGGUAGAGGAGAGUGGAAUUCCCGGUGUAGCAGUGAAAUGCGUAGAGAUCGGGAGGAACAUCAGUUGCGAAGGCGGCUCUCUGGACCAGUACUGACGCUGAGGCACGAAAGCGUGGGGAGUAAA
rnacentral:rRNA from 1 species